rnacentral:sRNA from 2 species
AUGUACCACUCGUACGCUGCGGUUCUGGGCGCGCCGUCCGCGUUCACCUGAUGGCCGCUCGCUCCGUUUUGUUAGCC